CGAUCGUCGCACGCAACACCUGUCGUGAGGGCUCCACCCUCCUCGCCUCUCUUGACGCGUUCACGCACACGGCUUUCGAGAUCUGCAUCUGCAGCGUGUGUUGCUUCCUCGUUAUUGCAAUCGUUCUUCUGUGCAGCAUGUGCCUAGCCUACCUGGUUGCAGUUGUAUCUGGAUCCGGUUCUGAAUUCAAGAAGACCGUCUUUGGAGAAAUCACAUGGGAAUCGAUUCAGGAGUUAUUUAACUUUCCUCGCGCCGCAGUCCUUGGGUUUGCUGCAGAUUUGGCCUGCAUCCUGCUAAUUGUCGCUGGUAUUCUGGCAAUGAUCAUGUCCCCACAUGUGGAUGGAUCAAUAUCUCAGGGACAAAUGAUUGGUUCCUUGAUUGUGGAUGUGGGGAUAUUUAGCCUCCAUGCCAUAUCUUGCUUCGUUAUCAUUCCAGCUUUCUCAAUUGAUAUCUGGAGGAAGGACCAGGUGGACAGAAAAUCAGGAUUCACGGUGGUGGAUUGUUAAGACAUAACCCUGAAGUGAAGGUGUGAAGAAAGCCAAGGCAGAUACAAGAGAUAUAUGAAGAUUAUGGCAGCUGGCAAAGACUGGAUUAUAAUUGCAUGU